UAUAUUGAGAGUUUGAUCCUGGCUCAGGAUAAACGCUGGCGGCGCACAUAAGACAUGCAAGUCGAACGAACUUAACCAUUAGUUUACUAUUGGAGCGGUUAGUGGCGGACUGGUGAGUAACACGUAAGCAACCUGCCUAUCAGAGGGGAACAACAGUUAGAAAUGACUGCUAAUACCGCAUAUGCCUUAGAAUCACAUGGUUCAAAAGGGAAAGGAGCAAUCCGCUGAUAGAUGGGCUUGCGUCUGAUUAGCUAGUUGGUGGGGUAACGGCCUACCAAGGCGACGAUCAGUAGCCGAACUGAGAGGUUGAACGGCCACAUUGGGACUGAGAUACGGCCCAGACUCCUACGGGAGGCAGCAGUCGGGAAUAUUGCGCAAUGGAGGAAACUCUGACGCAGUGACGCCGCGUGCAGGAAGAAGGUUUUCGGAUUGUAAACUGCUUUAGACAGGGAAGAACAAAGACAGUACCUGUAGAAUAAGCUCCGGCUAACUACGUGCCAGCAGCCGCGGUAAUACGUAGGGAGCGAGCGUUAUCCGGAUUUAUUGGGUGUAAAGGGUGCGUAGACGGGAAGUCAAGUUAGUUGUGAAAUCCCUCGGCUUAACUGAGGAACUGCAACUAAAACUGAUUUUCUUGAGUACUGGAGAGGAAAGUGGAAUUCCUAGUGUAGCGGUGAAAUGCGUAGAUAUUAGGAGGAACACCGGUGGCGAAGGCGACUUUCUGGACAGAAACUGACGUUGAGGCACGAAAGUGUGGGGAGCAAACAGGAUUAGAUACCCUGGUAGUCCACACCGUAAACGAUGGAUACUAGGUGUAGGGGAUAUUAAAAUUCUCUGUGCCGCCGCUAACGCAAUAAGUAUCCCACCUGGGGAGUACGGCCGCAAGGUUGAAACUCAAAGGAAUUGACGGGGGCCCGCACAAGCAGUGGAGUAUGUGGUUUAAUUCGACGCAACGCGAAGAACCUUACCAGGGCUUGACAUAUAAGUGAAUAAUUAAGAGAUUAGUUAGCUCUUCGGAGCACUUAUACAGGUGGUGCAUGGUUGUCGUCAGCUCGUGUCGUGAGAUGUUGGGUUAAGUCCCGCAACGAGCGCAACCCCUGUUUCCAGUUGCCAGCACAUAAAGGUGGGGACUCUGGAGAGACUGCCGGUGAUAAAUCGGAGGAAGGUGGGGACGACGUCAAAUCAUCAUGCCCUUUAUGUCCUGGGCUACACACGUACUACAAUGGCUAUAACAAAGAGAAGCGAGACCGCGAGGUGGAGCAAAACUCAAAAAAGUAGUCUCAGUUCGGAUUGUAGACUGAAAUUCGUCUACAUGAAGCUGGAAUUGCUAGUAAUGGCAGGUCAGCAUACUGCCGUGAAUACGUUCCCGGGCCUUGUACACACCGCCCGUCACACCAUGAGAGUUGGGAAUACCCGAAGCCUGUUCACCUCCUUUCUAAGGAGAAACAGAUCUAGAUGGAUUCAUUGUUUAUUUUUCAAUGUACUUUAAAUAGUACAUUGAAAGUUUACCAUAUCCUAA
rnacentral:rRNA from 1 species